UGCCCUUGCCUCUCUUCACUAUUUGCUCAUAAACCCAUCAAUUUUUUCUCUCAAUCAGAUAUCGAAGUUCUCUGCUAAGCUGACCAGUGACCACUGAAUCAGUUACCAAAGCAGCUGAAAUCUCAGCGCCUCGGCAAAGGAAAGAGAGUGAAAUGACGGGAGAAGAAGCGGCGGGUCCGCCCGGACCUAAGGUCCUGCGCCUCCUCAUUUUCGUCGGCGCCGGAUUUCUUUUUACCAUCGGAAUUAACAAAUGGCGAGAGAUAGAGCAAAAACAGGCUCAACAACAACAACGAAUUCAUCAGCAACCGAAAAUUUUAAGCUCCGCCGAUGCGGCUAAUAAACCCAUCGAAUAAUCUCAGGUUCUUUCAAAUGUCUACAUCUGAAAGCAACGCAUGAAAAAUGGUAUAGACUUUAGAUAGCUUGCAUUUUGUGGAAACUGUGAAUUAGCAGCAGCAAGUUUCAACUAGAGGUUCUUUCGGGGCCGGGUCCUUUCGGGUUCUGUUUCCGAGCGGCAAGUUCUAAGCAUCAGAAUUAACUAAUUACUACAUUUGUUGUAGAUGGUCAAUUCUUCGGAUUUGGUUGCAAACUGCCACUGAGAUAAUGAGCAGUCCAUCAAAUAACGGGCCUGUUCAGUGAGAUGUUGGGUUUGGGUUAGACCUAUAACUGGACCAAGUAGCCACCCUAGUCACCAAACCUGGAUCAUUUCAAACUAGGCUUUGUUAAUGAUUUCCAAGUCUUGCCUGGCCCAAAAAUAUAUUUUAAUUAUUUCAAUUUAUUUGUGUCAAAUUUUUAUAGAUUUAGUUUUUGUCCUUUAUGAAUUUUGAAAUUUUAGUCUUUAUCAAGUGGUAAUCUUUAAAUUCCUUGCGUUAAA